rnacentral:rRNA from 1 species
ACUCCUGCGGGAGGCAGCAGUGGGGAAUAUUGGACACUGGGCGCAAGCCUGAUCCAGCCAUGCCGCGUGAGUGAUGAAGGCCCUAGGGUUGUAAAGCUCUUUCACCGGUGAAGAUAAUGACGGUAACCGGAGAAGAAGCCCCGGCUAACUUCGUGCCAGCAGCCGCGGUAAUACGAAGGGGGCUAGCGUUGUUCGGAUUUACUGGGCGUAAAGCGCACGUAGGCGGACUAUUAAGUCAGGGGUGAAAUCCCGGGGCUCAACCCCGGAACUGCCUUUGAUACUGGUAGUCUUGAGUUCGAGAGAGGUGAGUGGAAUUCCGAGUGUAGAGGUGAAAUUCGUAGAUAUUCGGAGGAACACCAGUGGCGAAGGCGGCUCACUGGCUCGAUACUGACGCUGAGGUGCGAAAGCGUGGGGAGCAAACAGGAUUAGAUACCCCGGUAGUCCC